rnacentral:rRNA from 1 species
GACGAACGCUGGCGGCGUGCUUAACACAUGCAAGUCGAACGGUAAGGCCCUUCGGGGUACACGAGUGGCGAACGGGUGAGUAACACGUGGGUGAUCUGCCCUGCACUUCGGGAUAAGCCUGGGAAACUGGGUCUAAUACCGGAUAGGACUCCUGGCUUCAUGGUUGGGGGUGGAAAGCUUUUGCGGUGUGGGAUGGGCCUGCGGCCUAUCAGCUUGUUGGUGGGGUAAUGGCCUACCAAGGCGACGACGGGUAGCCGGCCUGAAAGGGUGACCGGUCACACUGGGACUGAGAUACGGCCCAGACUCCUACGGGAGGCAGCAGUGGGGAAUAUUGCACAAUGGGCGCAAGCCUGAUGCAGCGACGCCGCGUGAGGGAUGACGGCCUUCGGGUUGUAAACCUCUUUCAGCUAUGACGAAGCGCAAGUGACGGUAGUAGCAGAAGAAGGACCGGCCAACUACGUGCCAGCAGCCGCCGUAA